CGGGCGGGUGCUUACCUGCAAGUCGAACGGAGAUAGAAGAGACAGUUUACUGAAUCUUUUAUCUUAGUGGCGGACGGGUGAGUAACGCGUGGGUAACCUACCCUAAACACCGGGACAACAGCUGGAAACGGCUGCUAAUACCGGAUAAUCUCUUAAUGGGGCAUCCCAAAAAGAGGAAAGGCGGCCUCUGAAAAUGCUGCCGAUUAAGGAUGGACCCGCGUCUGAUUAGCUAGUUGGUAGGGUAACGGCCUACCAAGGCGACGAUCAGUAGCCGGCCUGAGAGGGUGACCGGCCACACUGGGACUGAGACACGGCCCAGACUCCUACGGGAGGCAGCAGUGGGGAAUCUUCCGCAAUGGGCGAAAGCCUGACGGAGCAACGCCGCGUGAAUGAAGAAGGCCUUCGGGUCGUAAAGUUCUGUCUUUAGGGAAGAAGUCUUUUGGUGUGAAUAAUGCCAAGAGGUGACGGUACCUAAGGAGGAAGCUCCGGCUAACUACGUGCCAGCAGCCGCGGUAAUACGUAGGGAGCAAGCGUUGUCCGGAAUUACUGGGCGUAAAGGGCGCGUAGGCGGGAUUUUAAGUCAGGUGUGAAAACUCUGGGCUCAACUUGGAGAUUGCACUUGAAACUGGAAUUCUUGAGGACAGGAGAGGAAAGUGGAAUUCCUAGUGUAGCGGUGAAAUGCGUAGAUAUUAGGAGGAACACCAGUGGCGAAGGCGACUUUCUGGACUGUAACUGACGCUGAGGCGCGAAAGCGUGGGGAGUGAACGGGAUUAGAUACCCCGGUAAUCCACGCUGUAAACGAUGGGUACUAGGUGUAGGA
rnacentral:rRNA from 1 species